CCUCUUCAAGUGAUGGUUUCUCUUCAAAUGAUAGUUCAUUAGGCGUUUCUUCCUGUGUUGGUUUUUCAUGUGCUUCUUCAGUUACUGGUUUUUCAGGUUUCUCCUUAGUUGUUGGUUCUUCGCUUGUCUCCUCAGCUGAUUGUUCUUCAAGCUUCUCUCCUGUUGUUGAUUUUUCUGGUUUCUCUUCAAUUAUCGGUGGUUCAGGUUUUUUCUCAACCGGUGAUUCUUCUGGUUUCUCCAAAACCAUUGAUUCUUCAUGUUUUUUUUCAACUACUGACUCUUCAGUGUUUUCCUCAACUGAUGCAUAGUCAGCAAUAUCGUUGUUGGUAUUGCUUGGAAUUGCAUUGUCUAUCUUGUCCUUUGAGUUUACUUUUGGCAUAUUCUGCAAUGAAGUUUCACGUAGUCUUUCAAUAGAUAAACAAAUGUAAAUUUGUUGCACAUAUAAAAGCUAAUAUGAUGGAUAAAAUUUGUGCCAGUGUUUAAUCCUCACCUUCUCCUGAAGAGCUUCCGCUUCAAGUUCCUCCUCUUCAAUUGCAGGUUUUUCAUCUUUCUCUCCAACAACUAGUUCUUCAGGUUUCUCUUCAAGUGCCAGUUCUUCAGGUGUUUCCUCCUUUGCCAGCUCUUCAGGUGUUUCCUCCUUUGCCAGCUCUUCAGGUGUUUCUUUAGCUGCCGGUUCUUCAGGUUUCUCUUCAACCUCCGGUUCUUGUGGUAUUUCCUCUACUUGUACUUCAGAUUUCUCCUCAAUUGUUGGUUCUUCAGGUUUCUCUCUAACCGCUGCUGCAUUAGGUUUCUCUUCAUUGGCUGGUUCUUCAGGUUUUUCUUCAACUACCGAUUCUUCAGGAUUUUCCUCAAUGUUUGGAAAGGGAGCGACAUCAUUAUUGGUAUUGCAUGGAAUUUCACUGCCAGUUUUGUCAUUCAAGUCCACAACUAGUAUAUUCUGCAAAAGAGUUUAAUGUUUCACUUAGUCUUUCAAUAAAGAAGCAGAUGCGAAUCAUUACAUAUACAUAACUAAUAACAUGGAUAAACUUUAUGACAGUAGUUGACCCUUACCUUUUCCACAAGAGUUACUUUUGCAGGUUUCUCCUCUUCAAGUGCUGGUUUCUCUUCAAAUGAUAGUUCAUUAGGUGUUUCUUCCCGUGUUGGUUCUUCAUGUGCUUCUUCAGUUACUGGUUUUUCAGGUUUCUCCUCAAUUGUUGGUUCUUCGCUUGUCUUCUCAACUGAUGGUUCCUCAUGCUUCUCUCCCGUUGUUGAUUUUUCGGGUUUCUCUUCAGUUGUCGAUGGUUCAGUUUUUUUCUCAACCGCUGGUUCUUUUGGCUUCUCCAAAACCAUUUCCGAUUUCUCUUCAGUUGGUGGUUCUUCAUGGUUUUUUUCAACUACUGGUUCUUCUCUUUUUUCCUCAACUGAUGCAUAGUCAGCAAUAUCGUUGUUGGUAUUGCUUGGAAUUGCAUUGUCUGUCUUGUCCUUUGAGCUUACAAUUGGCAUAUUCUGCUAGAAAAAUAUAAAGUUUCAUGUAGUCUUUCAACAGAGAAACCAAUGUAAAUUUGUUGCACAUAUAAAGCUAACAAAUAUGAUGGAUAGACUUUGCGAGAGUGUUUAAUACUCACCUUCUCCGGAAGAGCUUCCGUUUCAGGUUCCUCUUCAAUUUCUGCUUUUUCAUCUUUCUCUUCAACAACUAGUUCUUCAGGUGUCUCUUCAACCGUUGAUUCUUCAGGUUUCUCUUCAAGUGUUAGUUCUUGAGGUGUUUCCUCCUUUGCUAGCUCUUCAGGUGUUUCUGUAACUGCCGGUUCUUCAGGUUCCUCUUCAGCCACCGGCUGUUGACGUAUCUCCUCUACUUGUACUUCAGAUUUCUCCUCAAUUGUUGGUUCUUCAGGUUUCUCCUUAACCGCUGGUACAUCAGGUUUAUCCUCAUUGACUGGUUCUUCAACUGCUGAUUCUUCUAGAUUUUCCUCAAUGUCUGGAAAGCGAGCAACAUCAUUAUUGGUAUUGCAUGGAAUUUCAUUUCCAGUUUCGUUAUUCGAGUCUACAAUUAGCAUAUUCUGCAAAAAGAAUUUAAUGUUUCAUUUAGCCUUUCAAUAAAGAAGCAUAUGCGAAUAACAGUACAUGCAUAACUAACAAAAUGGAUAAACUUUGUGAUAGUGCUUGAUCCUUACCUUUGCCAAAAGAGUUACCUUUUCAGGUUUCUCCUCUUCAACGGUUGGUUCUUCAUGUUUCUUUUCAAAUGCUAGUUCCUUGGUUGUUUCUUCCGGUGUUGGUUCCAUAGGUGUUUCUUCAGUUACUUGUUUUUCGGGUUUCUCUUCAAUUAUUGGUUCUUCGAUUGUCUUCUCAACUGAUGGUUCUUCAAGAUUUUCUCCCACUGUUGGUUUUUGGGGUUUCUCUUCUAUUGUUGGUUGUUCAGGAAUUUUCUCAACUGGUGGUUCUGCUGGAUAUUCCAAAACCAUUGAUUCUUCAGAUUUCUCUUCAAUUGAUGGUUCUUCAUGGGUUUUUUCAACUACUGGUUCUUCAAUUUUUUCCUCAACAGAUGCAUAGUCAACAAUAUCAUUAUUGGUAUUGCUUGGAAUUGCAUCGUCUGUCAUGUCCUUUGAGUUUACUUUUGGCAUAUUCUGCAAUAGAGUUUCAUGUAAUCUUUCAACAGAUAAACAGAUGUAAAUUUGUUGCACAUAUAAAGCUAAUAUGGUGGAUAAACUUUGUGACAGUGUUUAAUCCUCACCUUCUCCUGAAGAUCUUCCGCUUCAAGUUCCUCCUCUACAAUUGCAGUUUUUUCCUCUUCCCCUUCAACAACUAGUUCUUCAGGUGCCUCUUCAGCCGUUGAUUCUUCAGGUUUCUCUUCAAGUGCUAGUUCUUCAGGUGUUUCCUCCUUUGCCAGCUCUUCAGGUGUUUCUUUAGAUGCCGAUUCUUCAGGUUUCUCUUCAGCCAUCGGUUCUUGAGGUAUUUCCUCUACUUGUACUUCAUAUUUCUCCUCAAUUGUUUGUUCUUCAGGUUUCUCUUCAGGUUUCUCCUUAACCACUGGUACAUCAGGUUUCUCUUGAUUAACUGGUUCUUUGGGUUUUUCUUCAACAGCCGAAUCUUCAGGAUUUUCCUCAAUGUCUUGAAAGCAAGCAAUAUCUUUAGUGGUAUUGCAUGGAAUUUCACUGCCAGUUUUGUUGUUCGAGUCUACAAUUAGCAUAUUCUGCAAAAGGAAUUUGAUGUUUCAUUUAGCCUUUUAAUAAAGAAGCAGAUGUGAAUAACAUUACAUGCAUAACUUACAAAAUGGAUAAAUUUUGUGACAGUCCUUGACCCUUACCUUUUCAGGUUUCUCCUCUUCAACAGCUGAUUCUUCAUGUUUCUCUUCAAAUGCUAGUUCUCUGGGUGUUUCUUCCCGUAGUGCUUCUUCAUGUGCUUCUUCAGUUACUGGUUUUUCAGGUUUCUCCUCAAUUGUUGGUUCUUUGAUUGUCUCCUCAACAGAUGGUUCUUCAAGCUUCUCUCCCGUUGUUGAUUUUUCUGGUUUCUCUUCAAUUGCUGGUUGUUCAGGAAUUUUCUCAACAGCUGGUUCUUCUGGCUUCUCUAAAACCAUUGAUUCUUCAGCUUUCUCUUCAAUUGAUGGUUCUUCAUGGUUUUUUUCAACUAUUGGUUCUUCAGUUUUUUCCUCAACGGAUGCAUAGUCAACAAUAUCAUUGUUGGUAUUGCUUGGAAUUGCAUCGUCUGUCAUGUCCUUUGAGUUUACUUUUGGCAUAUUCUACAAUAAAGUUUCAUGUAGUCUUUCAAUAGAUAAACAGAUGUAAAUUUGUUGCAACAUAUAAAGCUAAUAUGGUGGAUAAACUUUGUGACAGUGUUUAAUCCUCACCUUCUCCCGAAGAUCUUCCGCUUUAAGUUCCUCCUCUUCAAUUGCUGUUUUUUCAUCUUUCGUUUCAACAACUAGUUCUUCAGGUGCCUCUUCAGCCGUUGAUUCUUCAGGUUUUUCUUCAAGUGCCAGCUCUUCAGGUGUUUCCUCCUUUGCCAUCUCUUCAGGUGUUUCCUCCUUUGCCAGCUCUUCAGGUGUUUCUUUAGCUGCUGGUUCUUCAGGUUUCUCUUCAGCCGCCAGUUCUUGAGGUAUCUCCUUUUCUACUUCAGAUUUCUCCUCAACUGUUGGUUCUUCAGGUUUCUCUUCAUUAACUGGUUCUUUGGGUUUUUCUUCAACAGCCGAAUCUUCAGGAUUUUCCUCAAUGUCUGGAAAGUGAGCAACAUCUUUAUUGGUAUUGCAUGCAAUUUCACUGUCAGUUUUGUCGUUCAAGUCUACAAUUAGCAUAUUCUGCAAAAAGAAUUUGAUGUUUCAUUUAGCCUAUUAAUAAAGAAGCAGAUGUGAAUAACAUUACAUGCAUAACUUACAAAAUGGAUAAACUUUGUGAUGGUCCUUGACCCUUACCUUUCCAGGCUUCUCCUCUUCAACGGCCAGUUCUUGUUUCUCUUCAAAUGCUAGUUCCCUGGGUGUUUCUUCCUGUAUUGGUUCUUCAUGUGCUUCUUCAGGUACUGGUUUUUCAGGUUUCUCCUCAAUUGUUGGUUCUUCGAUUGUCUCCUCAACAGAUGGUUCUUCAAGGUUCUCUCCCGUUGUUGAGUCUUCUGGUUUCUCUUCAAUUGCUGGUUGUUCAGAAAUUUUCUCAACAGCUGGUUCUUCUGGCUUCUCCAAAACCAUUGAUUCUUCAGCUUUCUCUUCAAUUAAAGGUUCUUCAUGGUUUUUUUCAACUACUGUUUCUUCAGUUUUUUCCUCAACGGAUGCAUAGUCAACAACAUCAUUGUUGGUAUUGCUUGGAAUUGCAUCGUCUGUCAUGUCCUUUGAGCUUACUUUUGGCAUAUUCUGCAAUAAAGUUUCAUGUAGUCUUUCAAUAGAUAAACAGAUGUAAAUUUGUUGCACAUAUAAAGCCAAUAUGGUGGAUACACUUUGUGACAGUGUUUAAUCCUCACCUUCUCCUGAAGAUCUUCCGCUUCAAGUUCUUCCUCUUCAAUUGCUGUUUUUUCAUCUCUCUCUUCAACAACUUGUUCUUCAGGUGCCUCUUCAGCCGUUGAUUCUUCAGGUUUCUCUUCAAGCACUAGUUCUUCAGGUGUUUCCUCCUUUGCCAGCUCUUCAGGUGUUUCUUUAGCUGCCAGUUCUUCAGGUUUCUCUUCAGCUGCCGAUUCUUGAGGUAUUUCCUUUACCUGUACUUUAGAUUUCUCCUCAAAUGUUGGUUCUUCAGGUUUCUCCUUAACCGCAGGUACAUCAGGUUUCUCUUCAGCUGCUGGUUUUUGAGGUUUCUCCUCUACUUGUACCUCGGAUUUCUCCUCAACCAUCGGUUCUUCAGGUUUCUCCUCAACCUCUGGUACGUCAGGUUUCUCUUCAUUAACAAGUUCUUCACUUUUUUCUUCAAUAGUUGAUUCUUCAGGAUUUUCCUUAGUGUCUGGAGAGUAAGCAACAUCAUUAUUGGUAUUGCAUGGAAUUUCACUGCCAGUUGUGUCGUUCGACUCUACCAUUGGCAUAUUCUGCAGAAAGAAUUUAAUGUUUCACUUUGCCUUUCAAUAAAGAAGCCGAUGUAAAUCAGAGGACAUACAUAACUAAAAAAGAUGGAUUAACUUUGUGAUAGUGUUUGACUCUUACCUUUUCGAAAAGAGUUAUCUUUUCAGGUUUCUCCUCUUCAACUGUUGGUUCUUCAUGUUUCUCUUCAAAUGCUAGUUCCUCAGGUGUUUCUUCCUGUAUUGGUUCCUCAGGUGUUUCUUCUUCUGUUACUUGCUUUUCAGGUUUCUCCUCAAUUGUUGGUUCUUUGAUUGUCUCCCCAAUCGAUGGUUCUUCAAGCUUUCCCCCCCCUGUUGGUUUUUCAGGUUUCUCUUCAAUUUUCGGUUGUUCAGGUAUUUUCUCAACUGCCGGUUCUUCUGCCUUCUCCAACACCAUUGAUUCUUCAGAUUCCUCUUCAAUUGAUGAUUCUUCAUGGGUUUUUUUAACUACUGACUCUUCUGUGUUUUCCUCAACUGAUGCAUAAUCAGCAAUGUCGUUGUCGGUAUUGCUUGGAAUUGCAUUGUCUAUCUUGUCCUUUGAGUUUAAUUUUGGCAUAUUCUGCAAUAAAGUUUCAUGUAGUCUUUCAAUAGAUAAACAGAUGUAAAUUUGUUGCACUCAUAAAGCUAAUAUGAUGGAUAAAAUUUGUGACAGUGUUUAAUCCUCACCUUCUCCUGAAAAACUUCUGUUUCAAGUUCCUCCUCUUCAAUUGCUGCUUUUUCAUCUUUCUUCUCUACAACUAAUUCUUCAGGUUCCUCCUCAACGGUUGAUUCUUCAGGCUUUUCUUCAAGUACUAGUUCUUCAGGUGUUUCCUCCUUUGCUAGCUCUUCAGGUGUUCCUUUAGCUGCCGGUUCUUCUGGCUUCUCUUCAGCCUCCGGUUUUUGAGAUAUCUCCUCUACUUGAACUUUAGAUUUCUCAUUAAUUGUUGGUUCUUCAGGUUUCACCUCAACCGCUGGUACAUCAGAUUUCUCCUCAUUAACUGGUUCUUCAGGUUUUUCUUCAACAGCCAAUUCUUCAGGAAUUUCCUCAAUGUCUGGAAAGUGAACAACAUUAUUCUUCGUAUUGCAUGGAAUUUCACUGCCACUGUUGUCGUUCGAGUCUAUAAUUAGCAUAUUCUGCAUAAAGAAUUCAAUGUUUUACUUAGCCUUUCAAUAAAGAAGCAGGUGUGAAUCACAAUACAUGCAUAUCUAACAAAAUGGAUAAACUUUGUGAUAGUGCUUGGCCCUUACCUUUUCUAAAAGAGUUUCCUUUUCAGGUUUCUCCUCUUCGAUGGCUGGUUCUUCAUGUUUCUCUUCAAAUGGUAGUUCAUUUGGUGUUUCUUCUCGUGUUGGUUCUUCAGGUGCUUCCUCAGUUACUGGUUUUACAGGUUUCUCUUCAACUGUUAGUUCUUCGAGUGUCUCCUCCAUCGAUGGUUCCUCAAGUUUCUCUCUUGCUGCUGGUUUUUCAGAUUUAUCUUCAACUAUCGGUUGUUCAGGUUUAUUCUCAAUCGCUGGUUCUGCAGGCUUCUCCGAAACCGCUGAUUCUUCAGAUUUCUCUUCAAUUGGUGAUUCUUCGUGUUUUUUUUCAACUACGGGUUCUUCAGUUUUUUCCUCAACUGAUGCAUAAUCAGCACUAUCAUUGUUGGUAUUGCAUGGAGUUGCAUUUUCUGUCUUGUUCUUUGAGCCUACAAUUGGUGAAUUCUGCAAAAAAUUUAAAAUUUCAUUUAGUCUUUAAAUAGAUAAACAGAUGUAAAUUCAUUGCACAUAUAAAGCUAAUAUGAUAGAUAAACUUUGUGACAGUGUUUAAUCUUCACCUUCUCCUGAAGAGCUUCCAUUUCUAGUUCCUCCUCUUCACUUGCUGGUUUUUCAUCUUUCUCUUCAACAACUAGUUCUUCAGGUGUCUUUAUAGUCUUUGAUUCUUCAGGUGCUUCUUUAUCUGCCCGUUCUUCAGGUUUCUCUUCAGCCACCGGUUCUUGAGGUAUAUUCUCUUGUACUUCAGAUCUCUCCUCAAUUAUUGGUUCUGCAGGUUUCUCUUCAUUGUCUGGUUCUUUGGGUUUUUCUUCGACAGCCAAUUCUUCAAGAUGAUUUUCCUCAAUGUCUGGAAAGUGAGCAACAUCAUUAUUGGUAUUGCAUGGAAUUUCACUGUCAGUUUUGUCGUUCAAGUCUACAAUUAGCACAUUCUGCAAAAAGAAUUUAAUGUUUCACUUAGCCUUGCAACAAAAAAGCAGAUGUGAACAACAAUAUGUGCAUAACUAACAAAAUGGAUAAAUUUUGUGAUAGUGCUUACCUUUUCAGGUUUCUCCUCUUCAACCGCUGGCUCUUCAUAUUUCUCUGCAAGUGCUGGUUUUUCAGGCUUCUCUUCAACUGUCAGUUGUUCAGUUUUCUUAUCAAUGACCAGUUCUUCAAGAUUCUCCGAAACAACAGAUACUACAGAUUUAUUUUCAAGUGCAAGUUCUUCAUGUGUUUCCUCUCCUGCAAACUCUUCAGAUGUUACUUUUGAUGUCGGUGCUACAGGUUUCUCUUCAAGUGCUAGUUCUUCAUGUGUUUCCUCCCCUGCUAGCUCUUCAGUUUUUUCUUUCGAUGUUGGUUCUUCAGGUUCCUCUUUAACCUCUGGUACAUCAUGUUUCUUUUCAAUAACUAAUUCUUCAGGUUUUUCUUCAACUUCAACUGCUGGUUCUUCGAGUUUUUUCUCAAUUUCUGGAAAGUGAGCAGUAUUGUUGUUGGUAUUGCAUGGAAUUUCAUUAUCAGUUUUGUCCUUAGAGUCUACAACUAGCAAAUUCUGCAAGAAGUAUUUAAAGUUUCACUUAGUCUUUUGUAGAUAAGCAGAUGUGAAUUGUUACACUUACAUAACUAAUAGGAUGGAUAAACUUUAUCACAGUGCCUGACCCUCGCCUUAUCCAAAAGAGUUACCUUUUCAGAUUUCUCUUCAAAUGCUAGUUCAUUUGGUGUUUCUUCCCGUGUUGGUUCUUCAGGUGCUUCUUCAGUUACCCUUUUUUCUGGUUUAUCUUCAACUGUUGGUUCUUCUAGUGUCUCCUCAAUCGAUGGUUCUUCAAGUUUCUCCCUUGGUGCUAGUUUUUCAGAUUUAUCUUCAACUGUUGGUUGUUCAUGUUUAUUCUCAACCGCUGAUUCUUCAGGCUUCUCCAAAACCGCUGAGUCUUCAGAUUUCUCUUCAAUUGUUGGUUCUUCAUGUUUUUUUUCAACUACUGGUUCUUCAGUUUUUUCCUCAACUGAUGCAUAAUCAGCAAUAUCUUUGCUGGUAUUGCAUGGAAUUGCAUUUUCUGUCUUGUUCAUUGGGUCUACUAUUGGCGAAUUCUGCAAAAAAAUUUAAAGUUUCUUUUAGUCUUUCAAUAGAUAAACAGAUGUAAAUUCGUUGCGCACAUAAAGCUAAUAUGAUGGAUAAACUUUGUGACUGUUUAAUCCUCACAUUCUCCUGAAGAGCUUCCAUUUCAGGUUUCUCCUCUUCA
rnacentral:lncRNA from 1 species